UCAGCAAAGGGGCCUUUUCCUGGGCUUCAGAGAGUGAUGCUGGGGCUUGUGGGGUUCUCAAGGCCAUGAGAAAGGAAUGGAGCAGAAAAAUGUGUUCAUAACACCCAGGAGACAACAGAGGUGAGCAAGCAGCCCUGGAAAACCUCAGUUCACUCCUGUUGAAAGCACUUCCAAACUUUCCAGGCAGCACAUUGCUUUCACACAGAAUGGCCACACCACUCAGCCCUCAGAAAGGAAAGGGGACAGGGCUAAGCUGCUCCUGAAAGCAGCAAGAAGCACGCAAGCUGACCAGGGCCAUGGCCCCUUUCAGCCAUACCUCACACCCAAAGACCUUGUGGGAACCAGGAAACAGCCUCCAUGCAAUCAUGGGAUUUCCCCCAAGAGUGACCCGGGUCCCCUUAUAGCACAGCUAACCCAUUGCAAGUCUCCUCCAAAAAAUGGGCAGGGUGCUCGGGCUAGGAAGGAGCCACCUUCAUGUGAUAGAGGGAGCCUGGUCACUCCACAGAAAGCAGCUUUAGGUUCAAGAGCCUCUUGUCACUGCAAACCUCCCUUCCUGACAGCUGUCACACUCUCUGCAUUAACGGCCUGUCAGAUUUUAUUACAAACAAGGUCUAUUUAUUCUCAGAAAGAUACUUGAGAUAAUCUGAGAAAACAGAGAAAGGGGGUAAGCCUUCUUAAUUAGGACUGACCUGCUGAGCCCCCCAGAUUUCCAGUCAAAUCACUGUCCUAACAGUCACCACCGUGAAGGUCUCCUUCCACCUCCAAAGGCUACUCAGAGCAAUUGCUCCACUGCCAUGUGUCUGAUAUAAGACACCAGGGGUCACAGCGUCUGAGGAGCUCAGAGCUCUGAGCUUUGGAUCACAGAGCGGCAGGCCCAGGGGACAGGCUGCCUGCCACUCUCCGCCCGAGGCCACUGUCCUCACCAGACCUGCGCAAGAGCCCAGGGCCAGAUCCAGACAAGCCUCUCUGUCAUGUCUUCAGCCCAAAAGGAGGCUGGAAGCAUAGGGACCUGAUACUUAAACAGAAACUGCCCAAGGACUGUGCCCCAGGGAGAAUUCCAGAGCAUUCCAGGGCUGUCAAGCUUUGCUUGGAGCCACAAAUCUGAAAGCUAUUGCGGCUUUCAUGGUUCAAAUGGAAAAUACACACACACACACACACACACACACACCCCACAACCCUAAGUAGGGAACUCUACUGCCCUCUGUCUGCCCUUUAGCUUGAUGACUUCUAGUGACAAGAGGCCUGAUGUCCCCCAACCCCCACCCUUGACUAGACCUCAUACUUCUUCCUGACACUCAGUCCUGCCCUCUCCACCCUAGAGUAUGCAUGUUAGCAAACCUGGUCAAUGUGAUUGCCCCUUUGACCCAGACAUUUUUUAAAAGGAUUUUGUUGGUUUUACAACCUAGGGAUGUCUUUCUCUAGGACCCAGGAGUGACCAGGAUUCUCAAAGCAGAGGCCCCCCACCUCCCUGCCCUGUGGAGUGUGGGGGCCCAGCCUCAGGGGGCUUGCUCCAAGGCACAAACCACCUUCUAUCCUGACCAAUGUGAGAAAGCUCACUCUUCCUCCAGGGAAGGCCAAUCAGCAAAUGCAGGCGGCCUAGGACUUCCUACCCCAGCUCUUAAAUCCACCAGCCUUGUUUCAGUGGCAUACAAACUGAGUUCUGGCCCCUCCUCUCUUUUGCAAGAGCCUUUAGGAAAGUCUUCCUUGCUUCUCUAACUACAUCCCAUGCAAUAUUCAGUUGAUCCUAUAAAGGAUUUUGGAUACCCACUAUAAAACGAAAAGGAGAAUUUACAUUACAAAACGAAUUGUGUUUGGUUUUUAUGAAAUAAGAAGAAAAGGGAAACUCUUUACAUUAAAAUAGCAUUUGAUUUUUUUUUUAGAAAUAAAGGAAAUCUACUUUAAGAUGUAUAAAUAUUUCCAGAAUGGCUCCAGGUUUAUGAAAUGCAGAGAUGGAAUCGUGAGCUGCUGCCUUGGCUAAACUUGGAUUCUGAAGGAUACAGAUUUGCCACACUUAUUUUUUGUAUAUACAAAGCUAAUAUAUGAUGUUAAAAGCUGCAUCUUAAGGGAAUCUAAAUAGAUCUGAAUAAGUAUAAAAGAAACCUUACAGGUGGCAAGAUUUCUUUUAGUCUCAGCUUACCAGGCAGCAUUUUCUUCUUUCUCACUGGUACAUAAACUAAUGGUAUAGUUUAGGAGUGAUGCAAUCUUAAAUUCAAUGAAGUAGGUAAUUCUUAAGUUGCUUGAGGGAGUUCCCAUAGCGGCUCAGUGGUUAACAAACCCAACUAGUAACCGUGAGGUUGCAGGUUCGAUCCCUGGCCUCGCUCAGUGGGUUAAGGAUCCAGCAUUUCCAUAAGCUGUGGUGUAGGUCACAGACUUGGCUCAGAUCCCACGGUACUGUGGCUGCAGCAGAGGCCAGCAGCUGUAGCUCUGAUUGGACCCCUAGCCUGGGAACCUCCAUAUGCCACAGGUGCAGCCCUAAAAAGACCAAAGACCAAAAAAACAAAAAAAGUUGCUUGAAUAACUGGGCAUAAGAUCAUGUCAUUUACUGAACUGUAGGAGAAAGAGAUUAGUUUUAGAACACUGAAAGAGAAAAAAAAUCUCCAUUCAUCUUAUGAAGCCCACAUUAAUGUAACAUUAAAACCUAAAAUUGACAAAUAAGAGAACUGUAGUUCCCAUUUACUUACGUAAUAGAAGCAAAAACUCAGAAUAAAAUAUUUCCAAACCUAAAUCCAUAUAACAUAAUAAAAAAUUACCCUGUGACCAAGUAGGUAUUUAAUGACAAUAGAAUAUUAGGAAAUACAUAUAUAUAUAAUGAAUUAUGUGAAAAGAAUCAUUAAGACACUUAAAAAAUAUGAUAAAGUUAAAAACAUGAUAAAGUUAAAAAUCUCUUGGGAGUUCCCAUGUGGCUCAGUGGGUUAAGGAUCCAGUGUUUUCACUGCAUUGUCUCGAGCUGCUGAUGUGGUGCAGGUUUGCUCCCUGGCCCCAGGAACUUCCAUGUGCCAUGGGUGCUGCCAAAAAAAACAUCUCUUGGGAAACCAGGAAUUAUAAGAUGCCUCCUUAAACUAUUGCUAAUAGCUAUUAACCAUCAGUUAAUGAUUAAUCAACUGAUUGUUAUCUUAAUUAAUUAGCAGGUGAUAAUUCAUGAAUAGUGUUAAUUCAUUAAAACUUAAAAUUUCUAACUAAUGUAACAACACAUGAAACAAAAUGAUAACUGUAACUAUUGGAAAGCAGAAAGCAAAAUGGCCAUUUUAUAUAUAUAAAUUGAUAAUGUAUCAUAACAAAGAUGAAGAGAAAAAGGACAAAAAGAGGAAGAAAAAUAAAUAUUUUUGAUAGCUUAUGAUGUGUGAAAUAUACUGCACUAACCAUUUUAUGUAUAUCAUUAAUCCUCCCAAUAUAAAAAAUAAACCCUCAGAAUAUAUUUUCAAAAGUUCAUUCGUGCAGCUGAAACAAAAUAUACCCAAUUCCUUUCUAAUAUAUCAGAAGUCAACAAUUAGAAAAUAUAAUAAUGAAAGAACCAAUUUAUAAUAGCAACCUAUAAAAUAAAAUACCUACAAAUAAGCCCAAUACAAAAAUAAUCAGGAAUUAGGAAACUUUAAAAUAUAAAACUUUCCUGAGGAGUUCCCAUCGUGGCCCAGAAGAAACAAAUCUGACCAGGAUCCAUGAGGACACAGGUUUAAUUCCUGGCCUCAAUCAGUGGGUUAAGGAUCCAGUGUUGCCAUGAGCUGUGGUGUAGGUUGCAGACAAGGCUCAGAUCUGGCAUUGCUGAGGCUGUGGCAUAGGCUGGCAGCCUCACUCCAAUUCAACCACUAGCUUGGGAACCUCCAUAUGCCAAGUGUACAACCCUAAAAAAAAAAAAAAAAAAAGCAAAAAAAAAAAAAAAAAA
ensembl:lncRNA